rnacentral:lncRNA from 1 species
AGGCGCCGGGCUAGGGGGUGGGCUGGGUGGCGCCGGGCUGGGAGGCCGCGGACUGGGCGGCUGCGGCGAUGGCGGCGGGCUGGAGCUCCGCGGGGCCGGGCUGGGCGGAGUCAAGGUCGGCGGUGCCGGGCUCGGAGGUGGGUUGGGUGGCGCCGGGCUGGGAGGCCGCGGGCUAGGCGGCGCGGGGCUAGGCGCCGGGCUAGGCGGCACCGGGCUGGGAGGCGAAGGGCUAGGCGGACGGGGGCUGGAAGGCCGAGGGCUAGGCGGCGCAGGGUUAGGUGGCGCAGGGCUUGGCGGACGGGUGGCGCACUUGAAGUCCGGCGAGUCGGGGUGCGGCACGGUGAAGGUCCACAGACUGGAAAGGGACGCAAAGGGCAAACACACGCAAACAGAGUCAGAUAGACGCUUACAGCAGCAUAGUCACACGUGCGCACAACAUGGCAAGGUAAGGCCGCAAGUCGGGACCGCAGGACAUCAUGCGCUCACCACUCGUUCGGCUGGUCGCCAAUGCCGCAGCCCGCGAGCUGGCCGUUCACCGUGCGUGGGCCCUGGCACGUCGCAGCCAGGCCGUUCAGCGUCACGCUCAGCGGCGGCGCGCCGGCGGCAAGGCACGAGCCGCUGCCGUCCUUGACGGUGAAAUACACAGUGGCGGGGGCCAGCGUAGACGUGCUGAAGCGAACGUACUGGCAGUAGCGCUCUGCAGGCGGACGCGUAUGACAAACGUUCACUCAGGUUGCAUGCAGCAAGCCAGUCACGCACAGGGCGAUCCGUCACUAGGAGCCAUGGCAUAGCAGGUUUUCAGAAGCUUCCCUGCGCUCCAGCCGCAUACCGUAGCUGAGGAGCGAACCGGCAGACCCUUCAAGGCAGCAGAUUCUCCAUGCACACACUUACGUGACAGGCCGCCCCACCAAGUGUCGCGCUUGGCCGUGGCGCCGGUCACCGCAGAUGCGCCGGCGGACGGGAUGACGCCGUAGAACUGGUCGCCGCUGCAGAUGUGGCUGACACUGUCGGCGGGGUAGGCCUUGGGGCAGUUGCGGCUGUUGUCCCAGUACAGACACACCUGGCAGUCCUGCGCCGUGGUGCCGUUGGCAAGCGUCACCAUGCUGCACGCGUCACUGUAGUACACCGACAUGCAUGACGCCUGGUCCACGCACGUGUCCAGCGGGCCCUUGCUGCCGGGCGUGACUGCAGUGAAGUUAGUGGGGUCGGAGAAAACGCAGCCCGACGGGGGCUGCCCCUGAACCAGCGGGUUGGGCGGCGGCGCCGGGCUCGGCGGCGAGGGGCUGGGCGGCGAGGGGCUGGGCGGCCGCGGGCUGGGCGGCGGGCUGGGUGGGGCAGGGCUCGGAGGCGCCGGGCUAGGAGGCGCCGGGCUAGGGGGUGGGCUGGGUGGCGCCGGGCUGGGAGGCCGCGGACUGGGCGGCUGCGGCGAUGGCGGCGGGCUGGAGCUCCGCGGGGCCGGGCUGGGCGGAGUCAAGGUCGGCGGUGCCGGGCUCGGAGGUGGGUUGGGUGGCGCCGGGCUGGGAGGCCGCGGGCUAGGCGGCGCGGGGCUAGGCGCCGGGCUAGGCGGCACCGGGCUGGGAGGCGAAGGGCUAGGCGGACGGGGGCUGGAAGGCCGAGGGCUAGGCGGUGCAGGGAUAGGUGGCGCAGGGCUGGGCGGACGGGUGGCGCACUUGAAGUCCGGCGAGUCGGGGUGCGGCACGGUGAAGGUCCACAGACUGGAAAGGGACGCAAAGGGCAAACACACGCAAACAGAGUCAGAUAGACGCUUACAGCAGCAUAGUCACACGUGCGCACAACAUGGCAAGGUAAGGCCGCAAGUCGGGACCGCAGGACAUCAUGCGCUCACC